GCUGGGCGUGGUGGCGGGCGCCUGUGAUCCCAGCUACUUGGGAGGCUGAGGCAGGAGGAUCACUUGAACCCAGGAAGUGGAGGUUGCAGUGAGCCGAGAUCGCACCACUGCACUCCAGCCUGGGCAAUAAAGUGAGACUCUGUCUCUA
rnacentral:SRP_RNA from 1 species